GCCCGGUUUCGGCGAUGGGUUAUAGGGUCCGCGUCAGCCCCGCGCCCGCACAGCCAACGUCACGCCGCAUUCUUAUUUCCAAAGACCCCUGGAGCUUGGGGUCCCACCCCAGCGGUCUUUCGGGGCGUCCCCUGCCCUUCACGCGCCGCGCCGGCUCGGCCCGAAGCGCCCUGCGGACCCGCAGCCUGGGCCGCCCCGAACCUGACGGCCCCGCGGGGGUCGGACGCGGGAGGAACGGCCUCGCUUUCAGAGACGCAGCGGGAGGGCGGUCCCCGCUGUCCCUCUGGCCGGGUCCUCAGCACGCGUUCUCCUCACUCCCAGGACUAGCGAGCGGCGGGCGCGGACCGGGGCCUGGGGUCGGAGGCGGCGCAGCCAGAAAGGCCCCAGCGGCGCUGAGACGUUUGGGGGAAGGCGGGGGCUUCGCGUUUCGAUGGCGGGAAGCGGAAUGAGGUUGGACCGGCCGGGCCGGCGUUCAGGGACCCGGCGGGAGGCGGAGGGCUGGCGUCCUCGCGGACAUCCAUCUGCAGCGAACCAGGCAGAGGCUUUGGGAUUAGAUCCUUGACUCCUUGCGUCAGUAGUUAAGCUUUGUGAUGGUCUGAGGUCCAUGAAGGGAUUAAAACCAGGAACUGGCUCCUUCUCCAACCACUAAAGCCUCAUCUGGGCCCACAAGCCCUGGCUGUUCCCUGGAGCGUGACUGGAAGAUGUGAGCAGCUUUGUGCUGGAGCCCCAUUUCCAUGGUGCAUGCUGCUGCCAAACCAGAGAUCACUUGUAGACUUGAAAGGGAACAUGAGCUUUGGGUGAAGGAUUCCCAGCCCCCAACAGAGGCCAAAAAGCUACCACCCAGCCAGGUAAGCCUUGA
rnacentral:lncRNA from 1 species